GCUGGUAUGACCGAGUGGUUAAGGUGGCAGACUUAAGCUAUAGUUGACAACAAAAGUUGACUAGACACUAUAAACUCUGCUGGCGAAAGCCGCAGCGGUUCGAACCCGCUUGCCAGCA